rnacentral:rRNA from 1 species
CGCCUGUUUAUCAAAAACAUGUCUGUGUGUUGUUUUAUGUAAAGUCUGGCCUGCCCACUGAGUUGUUAAAGGGCCGCGGUAAUUUGACCGUGCGAAGGUAGCAUAAUCAUUAGUCUUUUAAUUGAAGGCUUGAAUGAAAGGUUGGAUGAGGGACUGACUGUCUUUUUGUGUUAAAAGAAUUUAACCUUUAAGUGAAAAGUCUUAAAUAUACUAGUGGGACGAUAAGACCCUAUAAAACUUAAUACGAGUUGAAUAAAAUUUAAAAAUUUUAAUUUAAAUUGGUUUUGUUUCACUGGUAUUUCGUUGGGGAGACGAUGAUAUAAUAGUAACUGUCUUUGUUUAUAUAAUAAUAAUAAUUAGUUUUUGAUCCUUUAUUAGAGAUUUAAAGAUUAAGUUACUUUAGGGAUAACAGCGUGAUUUUCUUUGAGAGUUCUUAUCGACAAGAGUAGUUGCGACCUCGAUGUUGAAUUAAAAUUUCUGGUAUGGUGUAGCUGCCUAUCUAGUGGGUCUGUUCGACCUAUAAUAUUUUACGUGAUCUGAGUUCAGACCGG